AGUGAACGCUGGCGGUAUGCUUAACACAUGCAAGUCGAACGGCGGCACAGUAAGAUCUUUCUCGUGCGGGGGGGGGUGGGCAGCCGGGUGGUAAAUAGAGAGUAAUCUACUUUUUCGUGGGGGAUAACGGAGUGAAACUGACGCUAAUACGGCAUACUACCUACGUGUCGAAUGAUGGGUUCUUCGGACCUUGCGCGUUUGUAUGAGCCGAGCUCGUGUCGGCUUAGCUAGUUGGUGGGGUGCUGGCAUACCAAGGCGACGUUGCGUAGCUGGUGUGAGAGGAUGAUCAGCCACAAUGGAACUGAGACAAGGUCCAGACUCCUACGGGAGGCAGCAGUGGGGAAUAUUGGACAAUGGGCGCAAGCCUGAUCCAGCCAUACCGCGUGGGUGAAGAAGGACUUCGGGUUGUAAAGCCCUUUUGUUGGGAAAGAAAAGCAGCAGGUUAAUAUCCCGCUGUUCUGACGGUACCCAAAGAAUAAGCACCGGCUAACUUCGUG
rnacentral:rRNA from 1 species